rnacentral:rRNA from 1 species
GUUAUAUGGUCAAGUGAAGAAGCGCAUACGGUGGAUGCCUUGGCAGUCAGAGGCGAUGAAAGACGUGGUAGCCUGCGAUAAGCUUCGGGGAGUCGGCAAACAGACUUUGAUCCGGAGAUCUCUGAAUGGGGGAACCCAGCCAUCAUAAGAUGGUUAUCUUGUACUGAAUACAUAGGUGCAAGAGGCGAACCAGGGGAACUGAAACAUCUAAGUACCCUGAGGAAAAGAAAUCAACCGAGAUUCCCUUAGUAGUGGCGAGCGAACGGGGACUAGCCCUUAAGUGGCUUUGAGAUUAGCGGAACGCUCUGGAAAGUGCGGCCAUAGUGGGUGAUAGCCCUGUACGCGAAAAUCUCUUAGUCAUGAAAUCGAGUAGGACGGGGCACGAGAAACCUUGUCUGAAUAUGGGGGGACCAUCCUCCAAGGCUAAAUACUACUGACUGACCGAUAGUGAACUAGUACCGUGAGGGAAAGGCGAAAAGAACCCCGGAGAGGGGAGUGAAAUAGAUCCUGAAACCGUAUGCGUACAAGCAGUGGGAGCAGACUUUGUUCUGUGACUGCGUACCUUUUGUAUAAUGGGUCAGCGACUUAUUUUCAGUGGCGAGCUUAACCGAAUAGGGGAGGCGUAGCGAAAGCGAGUCUUAAUAGGGCGUCUAGUCGCUGGGAAUAGACCCGAAACCGGGCGAUCUAUCCAUGGGCAGGUUGAAGGUUAGGUAACACUGACUGGAGGACCGAACCGACUACCGUUGAAAAGUUAGCGGAUGACCUGUGGAUCGGAGUGAAAGGCUAAUCAAGCUCGGAGAUAGCUGGUUCUCCUCGAAAGCUAUUUAGGUAGCGCCUCAUGUAUCACUGUAGGGGGUAGAGCACUGUUUCGGCUAGGGGGUCAUCCCGACUUACCAAACCGAUGCAAACUCCGAAUACCUACAAGUGCCGAGCAUGGGAGACACACGGCGGGUGCUAACGUCCGUCGUGAAAAGGGAAACAACCCAGACCGUCAGCUAAGGUCCCAAAGUUAUGGUUAAGUGGGAAACGAUGUGGGAAGGCUUAGACAGCUAGGAGGUUGGCUUAGAAGCAGCCACCCUUUAAAGAAAGCGUAAUAGCUCACUAGUCGAGUCGGCCUGCGCGGAAGAUGUAACGGGGCUCAAACCAUACACCGAAGCUACGGGUAUCACGUAAGUGAUGCGGUAGAGGAGCGUUCUGUAAGCCUGUGAAGGUGAGUUGAGAAGCUUGCUGGAGGUAUCAGAAGUGCGAAUGCUGACAUGAGUAACGACAAUGGGUGUGAAAAACACCCACGCCGAAAGACCAAGGUUUCCUGCGCAACGUUAAUCGACGCAGGGUUAGUCGGUCCCUAAGGCGAGGCUGAAAAGCGUAGUCGAUGGAAAACAGGUUAAUAUUCCUGUACUUCUAGUUAUUGCGAUGGAGGGACGGAGAAGGCUAGGCCAGCUUGGCGUUGGUUGUCCAAGUUUAAGGUGGUAGGCUGGAAUCUUAGGUAAAUCCGGGGUUCUAAGGCCGAGAGCUGAUGACGAGUUACCUUUUAGGUGACGAAGUGGUUGAUGCCAUGCUUCCAAGAAAAGCUUCUAAGCUUCAGAUAACUAGGAACCGUACCCCAAACCGACACAGGUGGUUGGGUAGAGAAUACCAAGGCGCUUGAGAGAACUCGGGUGAAGGAACUAGGCAAAAUGGCACCGUAACUUCGGGAGAAGGUGCGCCGGUGAGGGUGAAGGACUUGCUCCGUAAGCUCAUGCCGGUCGAAGAUACCAGGCCGCUGCGACUGUUUAUUAAAAACACAGCACUCUGCAAACACGAAAGUGGACGUAUAGGGUGUGACGCCUGCCCGGUGCCGGAAGGUUAAUUGAUGGGGUUAGC